CUAAGCCCGUUGGUUCUACGUCUAUUAUUAAUUCUUUCAAUAAGUAUUUAUGAGGCCUGCUAUGUGACAGGCUCCAUACUUGGCACGGCGGAUAAAAAGAGGAAUAUGACACAGAUUGCAAAAGAGAAACAAGUAAACGGAAAUCAGAGCAUAGUGAUUGUGUAAUAUGUGUAGAGGCUGAUUUAAUCACAGGGAGCACAGAGGACGGUACCUAAAUCAGAAGGGAUCUGGGGAGGUUUCCUGGAAAAGGUUUCAACCAAAGCCAUAAAUGCUGAUGUGGAUAUCAGGACAGUGUUUCAAGCAAUUUAGAUACAAUAUAAAAUAUACUGAUGCCAUAG
rnacentral:lncRNA from 1 species